UCCUCCUUAGCUCAGUUGGCUAGAGCGUCUGACUGUUACUCCUCAACCAGGGAGCGGAACAUCAGGAGGUCUACAGUUCGAACCUGUAAGGGGGAG